GUCGGCGGUGAUAGCACGUUGAUUAUACUAGUUCCUAAUGGUUCACUAAAGUUAAGCAACGUUGCGCGUGGUUGGUGGGUAGAUUCCCGCCCGAUGUCUAAGAACGGCUGGCU
rnacentral:rRNA from 1 species